rnacentral:rRNA from 1 species
CUGGUUGAUCCUGCCAGUAGUCAUAUGCUUGUCUCAAAGAUUAAGCCAUGCAUGUCUAAGUAUAAGCCUUUACACGGCGAAACUGCGAAUGGCUCAUUAAAACAGUUAUAGUUUAUUUGAUAAUCGAUUACUACAUGGAUAACUGUAGUAAUUCUAGAGCUAAUACAUGCGUCAAUACCCGACUUCACGGAAGGGUCGUGUUUAUUAGAUACAGAACCAACCUGGGCAACCAGUCUUGUUGGUGAUUCAUAAUAACCAGGCGAGUCGCACAGUUCUGCUGGCGAUGGAUCAUUCAAGUUUCUGACCUAUCAGCUAUCGACGGUAGGGUAUUGGCCUACCGUGGCAUUGACGGGUAACGGAGAAUUAGGGUUCGAUUCCGGAGAGGGAGCCUGAGAAACGGCUACCACAUCUAAGGAUGGCAGCAGGCGCGCAAAUUACCCAAUCCUGACACAGGGAGGUAGUGACAAGAAAUAACAAUACAGGGCAACACUGUCUUGUAAUUGGAAUGAGUUUAAUUUAAAUCCCUUUUCGAGUAUCAAUUGGAGGGCAAGUCUGGU